rnacentral:rRNA from 1 species
CUUGCAGGAUUCUAGUUAUCCAAUCCUCAAAUGUUUCAGUUCGGAUCGCAGUCUGCAACUCGACUGCGUGAAGCUGGAAUCGCUAGUAAUCGCGGAUCAGCAUGCCGCGGUGAAUACGUUCCCGGGCCUUGUACACACCGCCCGUCACACCACGAGAGUUUGUAACACCCGAAGUCGGUGAGGUAACCUUUUAGGAGCCAGCCGCCGAAGGUGGACAGAUGAUUGGGGGG